AACGAACGCUGGCGGCAUGCCUAACACAUGCAAGUCGAACGAGACCUUCGGGUCUAGUGGCGCACGGGUGCGUGACGCGUGGGAAUCUGCCCUUUGCUUCGGAAUAACAGUGAGAAAUUACUGCUAAUACCGGAUGAUGUCUUCGGACCAAAGAUUUAUCGGCAAAGGAUGAGCCCGCGUAGGAUUAGCUAGUUGGUGGGGUAAUGGCCUACCAAGGCGACGAUCCUUAGCUGGUCUGAGAGGAUGAUCAGCCACACUGGGACUGAGACACGGCCCAGACUCCUACGGGAGGCAGCAGGGGGGAAUAUUGGACAAUGGGCGAAAGCCUGAUCCAGCAAUGCCGCGUGAGUGAUGAAGGCCUUAGGGUUGUAAAGCUCUUUUACCCGGGAUGAUAAUGACAGUACCGGGAGAAUAAGCUCCGGCUAACUCCGUGCCAGCCGCCGCCGUAAUAC
rnacentral:rRNA from 1 species